rnacentral:rRNA from 1 species
CCUACGGGGGGCAGCAGUGGGGAAUAUUGGACAAUGGGGGCAACCCUGAUCCAGCCAUGCCGCGUGUGUGAAGAAGGCCCUCGGGUUGUAAAGCACUUUCAGUGAGGAAGAACGCCUGGUGGUUAAUACCCAUCAGGAAAGACAUCACUCACAGAAGAAGCACCGGCUAACUCCGUGCCAGCAGCCGCGGGUAAUACGGAGGGUGCGAGCGUUAAUCGGAAUUACUGGGCGUAAAGCGCGCGUAGGUGGCUUGAUAAGCCGGUUGUGAAAGCCCCGGGCUCAACCUGGGAACGGCAUCCGGAACUGUCAAGCUAGAGUGCAGGAGAGGAAGGUAGAAUUCCCGGUGUAGCGGUGAAAUGCGUAGAGAUCGGGAGGAAUACCAGUGGCGAAGGCGGCCUUCUGGACUGACACUGACACUGAGGUGCGAAAGCGUGGGUAGCAAACAGGAUUAGAUACCCGAGUAGUC